UCCAAAACCACUCUAUUUCCUUUUGUCUCAUCUCCAUUCCUUCCAUGGAUUUCCUCCAUUUUUUUCUCUGAAAAAAAGAAAAGAAACAGACUAACAGCGCACCGUUUCUAUUCUUCCUUUCUUCUUCAUUUUUCCCCUCUUUUAAAGAUUAUUCGAAAAAAUGACGCUCAAAACCCACCUUUUAUUCUCUCUCUUUUUUUUUUCUCUUUUUGUCUCCUUAUCCUGAGAUAGGAGAACCUCGAAGAUUUGGUCGAUCUUGAUUGCUCAACUGCUCACAUUUGGAUUUUCUUUUUCUGUUUCUGAUCUCCAUCCCUUUUCCUCAUAAACCUAUGAUUUUUUUCCCUCUCUCUACACAGAAAAAUUUCUAUUUUUUCUAAAUUAUUUUUCUCUUUAUUGGGAUAUGAUUACCUUGGAGAUCUUUCUUAUCUGAUCUAUUUUCGAUCCGCUGAUCUCGCCAUUUUUUAGUUUAAAAAUUUUCCUUUAUUUUGACCGAUUUUCUUUAUUCUCUAAUCAAUUUCAUGUUUGUUUCAGGGUGCAGGUUUAAGGUUUGCAUUUUGUUAUCUGGUAUCUUCAAUCACUACAGAACCCGUCAGGUAAAAAAAACAUAAGGAAGGCCACUGAAGGAGGAAUUAUAGUUCUCUUUGUGAACUUUUUACCCUUUCUUCCAUAUUUUUCUUGCACGAUGAGGUGAAAUAGUUACAAGCUAUCAGAAUAUAUCACUUCAAGAGGUGGAAACGUUUUCAAUUCUGAUAUUUUUGUACCUGAGCACAAGAAUGUAUAGAAGGAAGGAAGAUGACAGCACCUACCUUUCAUUCUUUUCUGUUCUGUAGAGGUGGAGAGCUUAAAUGGAGAAAGUGGAUCAAACUUGGCAUCAGGAAUUUAGCAAAGGAGCAACAAAAGAAGAAGGACCAAAAACAAAUGAGGGAUGCUAAAGUUACAUGGAUCCGCGGGUGGAUCCACAGCGAUCCGCGGGUGAAUCCAUGUCCUACGCUGAUCAUUUGUUUGGACUUCACGCCAGAUUUCGUCUGAUUCUUUUAUGUUUCGACCUUGGCCCAAUGUCCACACCAGAUUUUGGCCGGUCUUCAUGGGAAAAUGCAUAAAAAUGUGAUUUUUCAAUUCCAAUAAAACCUAAUCCUACCCAAAUUAGAAUAUAUUUUGAAGAAACUAUAAAUAAGGGCAUUCUAGGUCGCUUUUAGCUUAGAAAACAUUGGGGUAAAGUUUAUACAAGAAAUUUAGCCUUGUGUGACAACAUUCUUAGUGACAACAAAGAAACUUGUCACAAUUGAGUAAAUUUAGUGACGGCUUUUGAUGUUAUCAUAGUUGAUCAAGGGUAGACUCGUCACUAGUGAUAACACGGGGUUAGUCGUCACAAUAUGUGUGGCGCACAACUGGCCGGUGUGGUGGGAAAUCACCAUUGUGAUAACUUGAAAAAACAUUGUCAUUGAAAUGGACCCUACAGUGACAACUUACAAUGUCGUUACAA